rnacentral:lncRNA from 1 species
CACUGAGGCGACAUGAGCUCACAAAGGCGGGAAAUCUGAAUAACUCCCUCGUAAUGAUAGAAGUACACCAUUACCAUUGCACUGGGUGGUAUGAAUGGGCGAUAUUCAAACACAUAUAAUAGAAUGCCUUUCAGUUCAACUUGCGUGUAAGAAAUGUAGACGGAAAGAGAGUUCGAGAACGACUGUUAAUCUGUGUAGUCUGUGACUUCUAAGCAGGGGAAGAAAUUAAACUUGCAGAUAUUUCAUUGGUGUUGUUAAAAACUCUUCCAUCAAAGAAUAUAUUGAUUAAACUUGACGAGUGCAGUGUGCAUUUUCGACAUGGAAGAUGCAGCAACAUAAUGGACUUGGAAAUAGAUGAUAAUUGUCUUCAGCAUAUCAGAGAAUGGAACCUAUAGAGAUGAACAUUCGGGACGAGAAUCUCUACUUUCUCCAGCCUUACGUCUAGAUCAUCAAUGUCCACUAAGCCCUAGAAGGUAGUCGUGACUCCCUAGUGCCCAUGAGACACUAGAGGGAGAAAGUUAUAUUCUAUGACGAUGACAACGACGUCGACGACCACGACGACUCUGGUUCAUUUCAGCUUUUGGUCAGCGAUGCAUCCGCAGUGGAUCGAGCAGGAUGUGGGAUCACCGUGGGAGGUUAUGCACUCAUGGCGCGCAGGGCUUAGGUGGAUAGCAAUACUAUUAUCGUAACAUUGUCGUUUACUGGUAGGGCUUGGAUGCUGGUGCUGAGACCCCCC